rnacentral:ncRNA from 1 species
GAUUUCUGCCCAGUGCUCUGAAUGUCAAAGGAAAUUCAACCAUGCGCGUGAAAACGCCGGGGGUAUUUAUGACUCUCUUAAGGUAGUCAAAUACCUCGUCAUCUAGCUAGUGACGCGCAUGAAUGGAU